GACGAACGCUGGCGGCGUGCCUAAUACAUGCAAGUCGAGCGGACUGAAUGGGAGCUUGCUCUUGUUCGGUCAGCGGCGGACGGGUGAGUAACACGUGGGCAACCUGCCCGCAAGACCGGGAUAACUCCGGGAAACCGGAGCUAAUACCGGAUAACACCGAAGACCGCAUGGUCUUUGGUUGAAAGGCGGCGCAAGCUGCCCCUUGCGGUGGGGCCCGCGGCGCAUUAGCUAGUUGGGGAGGUAACGGCUCACCAAGGCGACGAUUCGUAGCCCGCCUGAGGAGGGGGCCGGCCACACUGGGACUGUGACACGGCCCAGACUCCUACGGGAGGCAGCCGUAGGGGAUCUUCCGCAAUGGGCGGAAGCCUUACGGGGCGACGCCGCGUGGGGUGAGAAGGCCGUCGGGUCGUAAUGCUCUGUUGUGUGGGACGAAGGAGCGCCGUUUGAAGAUGGCGGCGCGGUGACGGUACCUCACGAGGAAGCCCCGGCUAACUACGUG
rnacentral:rRNA from 1 species